rnacentral:misc_RNA from 1 species
GAUGAAGAACGCAGCGAAAUGCGAUAAAUAAUGUGAAUUGCAGAAUUCAGUGAAUCAUCGAGUCUUUGAACGCACAUUGCGCCCCCUGGUAUUCCGGGGGGCAUGCCUGUUCGAGCGUCAUUUGUACCCUCAAGCUUUGCUUGGUGUUGGGCGUCUUGUCUCUAGCUUUGCUGGAGACUCGCCUUAAAGUAAUUGGCAGCCGGCCUACUGGUUUCGGAGCGCAGCACAAGUCGCACUCUCUAUCAGCAAAGGUCUAGCAUCCAUUAAGCCUUUUUUUCAACUUUUGACCUCGGAUCAGGUAGGGAUACCCGCUGAACUUAAGCAUAUCAAUAAGCGGAGGA